rnacentral:lncRNA from 1 species
CCUUGUUCUAGAAGAACUUGUGGUGGGAAUCACCGCCCACAGUUCAGCCUUCCGCAGUCUUGAGGCGGCAGCACCACCUUUUGCCCCCUGCUGAGGCACGGAGACCACCUGCAGACAUGGAGGUUGUGAAGGGGGAGAAGCCUGCAAGGUUUCCUGGGGGAAUUAUUCCUGGCGAUGGGAGUCCCACCGUGGGGUCCCUUUUGCUUCCGUUGCAGGGUAGCAGAGAAGGGAGAGGGUAAAGAAAGGAGCUCCUCUCAUUCUCCCUACAGACCCACCGCACCAUGUAAUCUCUCCUUCCCUUUGGAGGUGAAAACAACAAGAGCACAGGGAAUAUGCAGAGGACGUCACAGGAUGUGCCCAUCAGAGAGAUGAGCUUUGGAGACUUCCAAGCAAGUGGACUUUGAAUACGGUCACAGGGCCCUGGGCUGUGAACCCAGCAUCUCAGAAUAGGCUUUACUUACACAGUGGUCCCCCAGCGAGGCUGUUCAGGAGCUGCUUAUCACCAGUGCAUGAGGAGGUACCAAAUUCCUGCUCUUGAAGAAAGGGAUGGAUGGAACAUUUUUGUCUGAAAAAUGACCACAAGGAUCAAAUCCCCUGGAUAAUUCCUCCUCUUCAUUUCCCUUUGCCAGAUCAUUUCAUCCUGUUCUGAGUUUGCCAGGGAAAGCUUGAGUUUAAGAAAAAGCCUCUGCAAGGAGAAGACUGAAUUAAGAGAAAGUCCACUGGGCCCUGCCAUUCAUUCUGAUGAAAGAUAGCCAUAGAGGCCUCUCUUUACCCCAAGCAGGGCAUACAAUGGCCACUCUUCGGUUCAGCUUCCCAGCACAUGAACCCCACUUUCUCAGCAUGCUGAGGGUAGUCAGGCUCUGGCAGAUAGACCUGCACUGGCUAAACGCCUGGACACUUAGAAAUAAACCCAAAGGCCAAUUUAUUGCUUUCUACAGAAAGGUGGCCUGGUAAGCUACCAGUAACUGGUCCCUGGCUCUGAAUACUCCUUCCUCAUGAUUGAGUCCACUUAGGAGAACAAGUCAUGGGUUAGCAGGUGGCUCAGUGAAGACGAGAAAAAGCGGCCAAGUCCAGUGUUUCCAAACUCUUAACUUUAAUUGUGGAACUGUUUGUUCUAUUCACAACUUACCCUGAAACGGCAGAUAUUUUGCCUGCCUGCCUCUACUUCCGCUCCCAUACCUGUGCUAGACUUUGACCUCAAGCACUUCUUCCUGCUGGGUCCAAACCUAGUCUUAGAAUCCUCCUCAAGGAGUGGGUGAGAAGGGAAAUGGGAAUUCAGAGACUUCCUGGAGAAGGGACACCUGAGCAGGGUCUGAGAGCACUAGCUACUUGGCCCAUGGAUUCCGGGCUGUGGUAACAGCAUGCACAGAACUGAAGGGGAAAGAGAGCCCUAAAGAGCUGGAGUAUUGGUGCUUGCAGGAUGGUGAGCAAGGCGGCAGCCAGGUGAGCAAGGUCCACAGGGCUCAACAUGAUUACAAGUCAUAAGGUGGGUUACCCUGGAGUGGCCCUUCUCAUCCUACCAUGUUGCUUUCCAGAUGGUUUAAUCACAGAACAUAACGUCUCCAGGACCUGGUCUGCAGGCUCCAGAUGGGUGUGCAGUGCAGAUGCUUCUCCUAUGUUCCCCCAGGCUUCCAUGGGACAGGAAGGGAUUGUCACGGUCAUUGUGUUUCCUGCUGCAUAAAACUGGCUGGAAAUGAAGAUUCCUUCAUUCCCUGUGUCACUCUGGAGAUUGUGCCUCUGGACGCAAUGGACCAGAACUCAGGACACACCCAGUCCCUUCCCAGCAUGACCUUCCUUGGGAUGUGCCAUGUGGCGUGCAGACAUCACAUGGCAGCACCUGUGUGUGGGAGGAGAGCAUUCAUGCUCAUGUCUAGACACUAGCCAGAUGACGACACGAGCCUGCUCUUGGUCUCCUCGUUGGCCAGCUGAGGAUGCGGAGGAAAAGACAAUGACAAGAAUGUUACAGAACCUGUGGGUUCCCUUAACAGCCUUGACCUUGAAGACUCUCUGCUGCUUAUGUUUUCACUGGUUUUAUUUUUGCUUGUUUAUAUUCCCAGCUUGUCUUGGAAAUUCUCUUUCACAGCAUAUUUCGCCCAUUUUGAUUUUCAAAACCAUAUUUAGCAAUUAUAUUUCACACUUCAUCAGAUAGAAAUGGUUCCACUGAACUUCAUUCAAACCACCAACCCUCUCAGGUCCAAGUAAUGCAACUCCACUUGGAAUUCUGUCUACUGCCAUGGGCAGGGAUGGGAAUCUUUGUGUCGUUUCUGCAUUGUUAUUUGGAUAAAAAUGACACACCUCCAAAGCUUAAGUCUGGCAUCAAUUUGAAAGUUAACCCAACACCAACUUUUAUUUGUGAAACAUUUGAUUUUACCUUUCUAGAAUCCAUUCACCAAAUGGACUUCCUGAGGGUUUAAAAUUGGCACCUUUCUUUUCUUUCAUAUUGUCCAGUCAGCGCUUUUAAAAUAGAAAAGCGGGAAGUACCAGUAGAAAAAAGAUUAGGGCCCUCACUUUAAAUAAACGACACAGCUUUAUUACUUCC